rnacentral:rRNA from 1 species
CCUACGGGAGGCAGCAGUGGGGAAUAUUGGGCAAUGGGCGCAAGCCUGACCCAGCAACGCCGCGUGAAGGAAGAAGGCUUUCGGGUUGUAAACUUCUUUUAUCAGAGACGAAGCAAGGGACGGUACCUGAUGAAUAAGCCACGGCUAACUCCGUGCCAGCAGCCGCGGUAAUACGUAGGGGGCAAGCGUUAUCCGGAUUUGCUGGGAGUAAGGGGCGUGUAGGCGGGAUUGCAAGUCAGAUGUGAAAACUAUGGGCUCAACCCAUAGCCUGCAUUUGAAACUGUACGUCUUGAGUGCUGGAGAGGCAAUCGGAAUUCCGGGUGUAGCGGUGAAAUGCGUAGAGAUAAGGAGGAACACUAGUGGCGAAGGCGGAUUGCUGGACAGUAACUGACGCUGAGGCGCGAAAGCGUGGGGAGCAAACAGGAUUAGAUACCCCGGUAGUC